AAGAAAUUAGUUAAAUUAUAACGUUAGUUUGUCAAACUAAAAUUAUUUAUUAAACUUAGAUAUUUCUUA
rnacentral:tRNA from 1 species